rnacentral:rRNA from 1 species
UUGCACAAUGGACGAAAGUCUGAUGCAGCAACGCCGCGUGGAGGAUGACACAUUUCGGUGCGUAAACUCCUUUUAUAUGAGAAGAUAAUGACGGUAUUAUAUGAAUAAGCACCGGCUAACUCCGUGCCAGCAGCCGCGGUAAUACGGGGGGUGCAAGCGUUACUCGGAAUCACUGGGCGUAAAGAGCAUGUAGGCGGAUUGAUAAGUUUGAAGUGAAAUCCUAUAGCUUAACUAUAGAACUGCUUUGAAAACUGUUAAUCUAGAAUGUGGGAGAGGUAGAUGGAAUUUCUGGUGUAGGGGUAAAAUCCGUAGAGAUCAGAAGGAAUACCGAUUGCGAAGGCGAUCUACUGGAACAUUAUUGACGCUGAG